GCUGGCAGCACGUGGUGUAACGGAAACCUACGAGCCUGCGUGCUCUAGCCUGGAGCUGCUCUUAAAGGGCCAGCGUCACUAAAAUACCCCACACAGUUAUCACAAUACCAGCUUUACAAGCAGAACGAAUGUGAACAGUUUACCAAACCAAGACUUGGUGGUUCACAUGUUGCAGCUGCAGAGCCGAAUGUCGCCAUGGCCAGGAAAGUGUCUCAGAAACAAGUCAC